rnacentral:sRNA from 1 species
UCACCCGUCUUAUAGCUGUUAUGGGUUGCGACCGAGCUUAGCCUUGUUCAUUUUUUUACACAAUAGGGCUGUAAAAAAUUGAACACGCCUCACUGAGCACCGCGCCGGCAGCGGUCGCAAGCCGCUUCAGAAUGCCCUGGAACGCCCCAAAAUUGGCCAUGCAGACCUUUUUUAGGGCAG